AUUGAACGCUGGCGGCAUGCUUAACAUGCAAGUCGAACGGCAGCAUGUUUUGUAGCAAUACAAAAUGAUGGCGAGUGGCGGACGGGUGAGAAACGCGUAGGAAUCUACCCUAAAGAGGGGGGCAACCCGAGGAAACUCGGGCUAAUACCGCAUAUUACUCAUUGGAGGAAAGGCUGGGGCAACCUGGCGCUUUAGGAGGAGCCUGCGUCCGAUUAGCUAGUUGGUUAGGUAAAGGCUGACCAAGGCGAUGAUCGGUAGCUGGUCUGAGAGGAUGAUCAGCCACAAUGGGACUGGGACACGGCCCAGACGCCUACGGGAGGCAGCAGUGGGGAAUAUUGGACAAUGGGGGGAACCCUGAUCCAGCAAUGCCGCGUGUGUGAAGAAGGCCUUCGUGUUGUAAAGCACUUUAGUUGGGGAAGAAGGUGUAUUGUUUAAGAGAUGAUACAUUUGACUGUACCCAAAGAAUAAGCACCGGCUAACUCUGUGCCAGCCGCCGCCGUAA
rnacentral:rRNA from 1 species